GAUGAACGCUGGCGGCGUGCAUAACACAUUCAAGUCGAACGAGCGAGCAAUCGCGAGUGGCGGACGGGUGAGUAACGCGUAAGCAAUCUGCCUCUGUGUGGGGAAUAACAGCCGGAAACAGCUGCUAAUACCGCAUAAUACAGCGAGACCGCAUGAUCUUGCUGUCAAAGAUUUAUCGCACAGAGAUGAGCUUGCGUCCGAUUAGAUAGUUGGAGGGGUAAAGGCCCACCAAGUCGACGAUCGGUAGGCGGACUGAGAGGUUGAACGGCCACAUUGGAAAUGAGAUACGGUCCAGACUCCUACGGGAGGCAGCAGUGGGGAAUAUUGGGCAAUGGGCGAAAGCCUGACCCAGCGACGCCGCGUGAGGGAAGACGGUCUUCGGAUUGUAAACCUUAGUCAACAGGGACGAAGCAAGUGACGGUACCUGUGAAGGAAGCCACGGCUAACUACGUGCCAGCAGCCGCGGUAAGAC
rnacentral:rRNA from 1 species